UACGUAGGGUGCAAGCGUUAAUCGGAAUUACUGGGCGUAAAGCGUGCGCAGGCGGCUUUGCAAGACAGAUGUGAAAUCCCCGGGCUUAACCUGGGAACUGCAUUUGUGACUGCAUGGCUAGAGUGCGGCAGAGGGGGAUGGAAUUCCGCGUGUAGCAGUGAAAUGCGUAGAUAUGCGGAGGAACACCGAUGGCGAAGGCAGCUCGCUGGGACGUAACUGACGCUGAGACGCGAAAGCGUGGGGAGCAAACAGG
rnacentral:rRNA from 1 species